UUCAAGACUACAGGUUAUUAGCCAAACAAGCAGCUUGUCAGCCAUUGAUCAGUCCAGGUUUUUAUUGCAUGGAAAAGAACAGCAUGAACAUCCUUCAAAAUGCUUUGGACCAACAUGAGGUUUCCACGCAGUUCAGAGACGCCAACAGCCGACGCUCCCUGUGUUACAUGGGUUGCUUGGAAACCAGCGCAUUGGGAGUGUGUAGUGCAACACACAGAGGCACAGGAUGCAGCACAUAGAGAAAAACAGGCGCUCAAAGCCCACGUGUGGACAGCAUCCUCCAGACGCUCAUGAAGAUGUCCCACGGACUUCAGUUCAGUUCACACAGCCGCUUCGGUCGCGGCGUCCCGUGGACGGAUCAGAGAUGUCAUCUGGUUGUCUCAAUUUGUGGAGUUUGGACUUUGGCCGGCUUCACCCCCUCCAGCUCUGAGGAUAAAGCUGGAUUAACAUCACAUCCCUUCUAGUAUCCAUGGGCUCGAGGAGGAUACAGACUGGUUAAGACACUUCCUUCCCCCUCCACAUCCAGUGCAAAAAAAUAAAAAAUAAGA